UACAGAGGGUGCAAGCGUUGCUCGGAAUCAUUGGGCGUAAAGAGCGUGUAGGCGGCCAGGUAGGCCUGCUGUGAAAACUCGAGGCUUAACCUCGAGAUGUCGGCGGAAACCAUCUGGCUAGAGUCCGGAAGAGGAGAAUGGAAUUCCCGGUGUAGCGGUGAAAUGCGCAGAUAUCGGGAAGAACACCCGUGGCGAAGGCGGUUCUAUGGGACGGUACUGACGCUGAGACGCGAAAGCGUGGGGAGCGAAAAGG
rnacentral:rRNA from 1 species